GAGUUUGAUCCUGGCUCAGGACGAACGCUGGCGGUAUGCUUAACACAUGCAAGUCGAACGAGAAGGAAGAGCUUGCUCUUCCUGAAAGUGGCGAACGGGUGAGUAACGCGUGGGUAACCUACCCUUUGGAAAGGAAUAGCCUCGGGAAACUGGGAGUAAUGCCUUAUAAGAUACGUUUGUCGCAUGGCAUUUGUAUUAAACGCUCCGGCGCCAUAGGAUGGACCCGCGUCCCAUUAGCUAGUUGGUGAGAUAACAGCUCACCAAGGCCACGAUGGGUAACCGGUCUGAGAGGGCGAACGGUCACACUGGAACUGAGACACGGUCCAGACUCCUACGGGAGGCAGCAGUGGGGAAUAUUGCGCAAUGGGGGCAACCCUGACGCAGCAAUACCGCGUGAGUGAAGAAGGUUUUCGGAUCGUAAAGCCCUGUUAUUGGGGAAGAAAAAAAGACGGUACCCAAGAAGAAAGUUCCGGCUAACUACGUGCCAGCAGCCGCGGUAAUACGUAGGGAACAAGCGUUGUCCGGAUUUACUGGGCGUAAAGGGCACGCAGGCGGUUUUUUAAGUCAGAUGUGAAAGGCCACAGCUCAACUGUGGACAUGCAUUUGAAACUGAAAGACUUGAGUAUUGGAGAGGCAAGUGGAAUUCCUAGUGUAGCGGUGAAAUGCGUAGAUAUUAGGAGGAACACCGGUGGCGAAGGC
rnacentral:rRNA from 1 species